GAUGAACGCUGGCGGCGUGCUUAACACAUGCAAGUCGAACGGUGAAGGAGAGCUUGCUCUCUGGAUCAGUGGCGAACGGGUGAGUAACACGUGAGCAAUCUGCCCCUGACUCUGGGAUAAGCGCUGGAAACGGCGUCUAAUACCGGAUACGAGCUGCGAAGGCAUCUUCAGCAGCUGGAAAGAAUUUCGGUCAGGGAUGAGCUCGCGGCCUAUCAGCUUGUUGGUGAGGUAAUGGCUCACCAAGGCGUCGACGGGUAGCCGGCCUGAGAGGGUGACCGGCCACACUGGGACUGGGACACGGCCCAGACUCCUACGGGAGGCAGCAGUGGGGAAUAUUGCACAAUGGGCGAAAGCCUGAUGCAGCAACGCCGCGUGAGGGACGACGGCCUUCGGGUUGUAAACCUCUUUUAGCAGGGAAGAAGCGAAAGUGACGGUACCUGCAGAAAAAGCACCGGCUAACUACGUGCCAGCAGCCGCCGUAA
rnacentral:rRNA from 1 species